AUGAAGAAGGCAGGCCGCCACAGGCAGCGGAAAGCCAGCAGGUGUGGACCCAGCGCAAACAUCACGUUGCUGAGAAAGAAGGUGGUCCAAGUGUCCUCGGGCACACGAGUUCCCAAAGGGGUGAGUGAAACCCCGGAGUGCUUCUGGGACACAUGUUCACCACCUGGAUCCUGCCAUACCUGAAGUCUACAUGUGCAUCUGCCUGCUGGCAUGGGCUUCAGGCAACUGCUUCAAAGAAGUUUGGGCCUUCCCUUCCACCUGUCCUCUCACCUGCAACUUUGGGUAGACCACAGGGUCCCGCAGCAUGGGGAGAGCAUAUGAUUCAGGAAGAUCCAAUGGCAACUGGGCCACGCAGGAGCCCCACCUGGACAUCUGGAGUUACACUAUGCUUGCUGGAGCUCUCCUGCACUCCGUGGCUCCCCAGCAUGCUCCCUGCCCUGGCCUGGCUGAGUUUACCCCAAAUAGAGUCCUGACA